CACUACCCAAAGUAAUAUACAUAUUCAAGUGACUAAAUAACACCUAUGUACAUGCCACAUUUACCCAAAAGAAAAAUAUACAUCACCAAGUUUGUGUUGGAGUCGGGAUUGUUCUGGAUGCUGAGCCGGGAUACUUGACUUCAACUAACCUGCGCACGGAAACAACCGUACGCUGAGUAUGGAUAUACUCAGUGGUAUUACUAUAAAUCAAGACUAUUUAACAUUAAUAAAUUACAAACAUCAACCAUAAAUUUUAUAAUUAUUUAAACUACUUUUAUAUAAAAUUAUUUUACUUCAUAAAUCUUAAAUUCAUAAUUUAUUUUUCUCAUACUAACUCAAUUCAUAAUUUAGUUCAUACAUUCUUUCUUGUACUUUUCAAUAGUGCUAAAACAAAUAAUCUCAUUUUCAAAAUUUCAUUUCAAUUAUUUACCCUAUUAACAAAGCUCGGACUAUGACAGAUACGCGGAUUCCAUCCAAACACACCAGAAUGUCCAACCCAAACACACCCGGAAUAUUGUAAAUCCUCCAUAACACACCGGUAUAAUAUAUCCUCCCAAACACACCAAUAAGGCAUUAAAUGCCUAUUCGGAUAAACCGAAGUAUAUAAUAACAGAAACAUCCUCUCGGCCGAACUACAAUCUCUUCAUCACAUCACAAAUCCAAUGGCAUGCCAUUUGUAUCGGAUCUAGUCCGACAAGUUAAUAGGGUAUUAUUUUUUUUUUUUUUCUAAUUUCAAUUUCAUUUACACAAAAAUUUUCAAUACUCAUUCAAUUCAAAUAUCUAUUAUCUUAAUUCAUACACAAAUUAAUUUUCACACAAGUGUAUACCAUCAACACCAUACAUUUGUCACAAUUUAUUUAUUUUCAAUCAAUACACUUUUCAAAUAAUCACCUAUUCCAUAAUUCACUUAUUCAAUUCAAUUUGAUUCAAUUUAUAUCACUUUCAUUUUCACUCAAUAUUCAUAUCGAUUUCACAUACUUACCUCAAGUCUUAUUUACCAUACAUAACAAUUAAAAUUUCAGCAAUCAAUAAUAAUUAAAAUUUGAAUUAUAGUAAUACACACCGUAAUUCUCCCGUGUUAGUCCUCGAUGACUUUCUCCUUUCCUUUCGAUGCUGAUGCUUCCGGUUCUUUGUUGGCUACGAAAAUAAUAGUAAUUUACAUUAUUAUUUACAGCAUUAAUUAUAAUAAAUAAUUAAAUUUCUAAACAACUCCUACCUUAUUCCCAAUUUAAUCCUAACUAAACUUAAUUAUUUUCUUAAUCCAAUUCACUCUCUUUUUCUAUUCAAAUUUUGUCUAAACUUAUAUUUAACUAUAAAAUUUCCAGCAUAUUUCCUUAAUUUCUAAAUUUCUUCAAUUUAGUCCCUACAACAUAAAACUUAUAGCCUAGUUUACAAUUUAAUCCCUUAAUCAAUUCUAAAUUAGAAUUCAUUCAAUUAAAUCCCUAAUUCCAUAAUUUUUCCAAAAUGAACCCUACUUGGAAACAUAUGAAAUCUUGAACUAUCAACUUAAUUUCAUCAAAAUCUUGUUUCAAAGCUCCUAAAACAUCAAAAUUAACUAAAAAGGACUUAAUUGACUUACCAAAUUAACUCCAAGCUUCAAAUCCUUAGUUUUCUCUUUUAUUUUUCUUUCCCUUUUUCUUUCUCUUUUUC
rnacentral:lncRNA from 1 species